GAUUUGAUUCAUCUUGCCCGCUCACAGAGCUGGCCAUACAAUAAAAGGCCAUACUGAAGGGAAAACCCCGUAAUCUAUCCCUGUUAAAUUACAUGCGCGUGUUAGCACCGUGUCAGCUUUAAAACCUUGGCUUUCCUUACAUGGGUUUCAAACUUUUGUUUUACAAAGUUUAGUCUAGACCAGUGUAACAGUGAUACAACAUUUUAAAAUCUUUGCUCUACGUCAUGGAUAUUUCUGGCCCACCACGAUGGAUGAAUAUUCGAUGAAUCACUACGCGAUAGUGUAAAGUACAAAGAACAUAUAUUUCUCUGUUCACGAGGGGACGAAUUUGAGGUGAAAUGGAGAUACGAAGCAGCACGAACUACAUUUGGAACAUUAAAGAUGUUCUGGGGCAAGGUGCAACGGGAGCCGUUUACAAGGGAAGACACAAGAAAACUGGCGAUACGUAUGCAGUAAAGAUUUCAAACCAGCUAGGAAUGAUGAGACCGGUAGAGGUGAGGAGAAGAGAAUUUGAAGUCCUUAAUAAGCUGAAUCAUGAGAACAUCGUCAAGUU